CGGAUCAUUUCAGGCAUAAUUUUGCAGCCACAUCAAGCCUUGACUGUUCUGAAUCCAAUUUUUAUGCCCAUAUAGUAUAGUUGUACUCCCUUUAAACCAAGUGUGCUAAUGACAUCUUUGUAAGAUUGUCGACUGAAGAGAGCGCGGGUAAGAGAAACCGAAUUUCUAACGAAUGUCGAACGUCAAACUAACUUUCCGCGGUCAAAUACCGUAUAGACAGUGGAGUUGGCAUUUGUAGUAAAUUUGGUAAUUAAUCGUUUAGAAAUCGUUGCGCUAAGUGUAGCGUUUGUCUUAACAGGUGUGAGUAACAUUUUCAUGCCUUAUAUAUAGCGGAAUAAAAUAAGAAUAUAGGUAAGUGCAUGAAAAAUACUUAAAGAAUAGACUUGAUCCUGACCCCUUACCAGUGGGCGGUGCACCUCGUUUUGAGCUAACCGCCACAACACUUCAGACGAAGAAGGCGGCUGACCGAUAUUUUUCCUUGAACGCUUCCUCAGAAAUUAUUACCUGCAAAAUGUCUGAAAGGAAAGAGUGAUGGCCAGGAUAAAUGUAUCCUGUAUGCAGGAUAUAUUACAGUUGGUCUGUGUCAGUUAAAUCCAGGUUUGAGCUCGCUCAAGAUGUUGUAGCCCAGGUUGCAGAUUUCCUCAGUUCUUUAGGAAAGAAAAUGUAAUGCCCUGGUUCAGAAGGUGAUUUUGAUUGUGUGUUGUACCAGAUAAUGUCAUAUGGCUACUUUGAAAAUGUGCUGACCGUUUAGAAUUUGGAAACUUGGACCAUGUGUUAGAAAACAGGCACAUCAGCUGCUCGCGUCAACAAGGGAUGCAACAUUUCAUGGUUUUAAAGCUCCAAUUCUCAAACAAACUGGCGAGAAGGGACGGCCUUCCUUUAACAUCACCAUAGAUCAGCUGGAAUACCUCCUUUAACUAAACUUCACUGUUCCUGAGAUAUCCCGUAUGUUGUAUGUGAGUUUAAGCACUGUGAAGAGGAGAUUGAGGGAAUACGGGCUGUCAGUAAGGCAAACGUACAGCCAGAUUUCUGACGAAGACUUGAGAAAAGUUGUUGGUGACUUCUUUCAUCGGUGCCCGAAUUCAGGAUAUGUCAUGGUGUCUUGGUAUCAGAGUGCAGGCAUCAGAAUAACACGAUCUAGAGUUCGAGAAACUCUGAAUGCUGUGGAUCCAAUUGGCACCCUGCUGCGUGAAUUGCACCAUAAUUUGAUUCACAGAAGGGUGUGUUCAGUUCCUACAUCUUUGUCUCUUUGGCAUAUUGAUGGAAACCACAAACUGACUAAGUGGCACAUCGUCAUCCAUGGGGGCAUAGAUGGGUACAGCCAUAAGAUCAUGUAUCUGAAGGCCAGCACCAACAACCAGGCCUCAGCUGUCUUGGAAGCAUUUUUGGAGGCUGUCCAGCAGUUUGGUUUGCCAAGAAGAGUGAGGAGUGAUAAAGGUGGUGAAAAUGUUGAUGUGGCAAGGUUUAUAUUGGAGCAUCCUCUGCGUGGACCAGCUCUCUUAAACAUUUAGCAUAAAUGGUAAAGGUUUUUGUCCAUAAAAUGGUUAAAUGUUACCCAUAUAUUUGUUUAUUAAAGGGAACACAUUGCUGUGCAUCAGAUUGCUUGGUUAUUUUGAAGAAAUAUGAAACAGUUUGGCCCAUAAACUUUCUCAGUUUGGAAAAACUUAAAUGAAGCAUGCAGGGAACAAAAUGCAAUGCAGUUAGUACAUUGUUGACUAUUUGAGUAUUCAGAUUAUAAAUAAAUGUUGAUAUAUUAGCAAGUUAUUGGAAGAAAUCUGUGAAGUGGACAAACUUUUGGCUGGUAGUGUGCAUAUAUUUAUACACCCUAUUCUAUUAGUAGCAGAGACUGUUUGUUUUCUCUGUUCCAACCACAUUUACACCUUAGAGAGGACCAGCUAUAUUACCGGAAGAAGCGUUCACAACCAACGCAUUGAGUGUCUGUGGCGUGACGUCUGGUGUGCAGUUACAUCGAACUAUUAUGCAGUUUUCCACUAUCUGCAGGAAAUUGGAGCACUGGACCCAGACAAUGAAAAACACCUCAUAUGUCUGCAGAAUGUUAUGGUGCCUAGAUUGAAUGUGGACCUUGACCUGAUCAGGCAGGCAUGGGACCGACAUCCCCUCUCAUCUGAAGGCAACAGAUCUCCCCAACAGUUGUGGGUUUCAGGUCAACUGUUGAAGACAGAUGGUCCAGCUGAUCAAUUUACCUUGAGAUGCCAUCCAGCCAUCCAGGUUGUAAAUCCAAAUGCUCCAGGAGGUCGUCAACAGACCAUAUUGUUGGCGACGAAUAAGGCAUACAGAGAGAUAAAGAUGACCUUUCCUUUACCACCCGUGCAGUUGCUGGAUGAGUCCUAUGCCCUAGCUCAUGCUGAAAUGCUCCUCCAUGCUGACGGGAUCCCAGCACCAUUACGCCAGCAGUGUCUGGGGAAGCUGGUGGUGCGAUUUGGCCAAUACUUACAUGCCCCAUUCCACUGGCUUUUGGAAAAUGAUGUGGGUUACCUGAAGAACACAGAGCAAAACUCUCUAACCCACUUGCAAAAGGGAAAGUGCACAAUCAGUGGAAAAAAGAUCGUCUGCCAGAGUAUGCAGAGAGCUUCUCACAAGUCUCUAUAGACCUGGAGGCUAAUGUCCAUCAGUGUGUGUAUGGACAGAAAGGGUUUGAGAAUCAUACCUCGCAGGAGAUGUGCCAAUAUUCCACCCAGAAGGCCAGGCCUGAUGAUUUCAGCAGUGGUCAGAGGGAUUUGAUCCAGAAGGCAGAUAGCUGUGUCUGCUGGUGGCUGCAUACACCUGUGACCCAUAUCACCAGUGUACAGAUGAAGAGGUUUAUGAAGUUCAUUUAUAACAAGAAAAAGGAGCAAGUAAAUUGUCUGAAACACACACAACAGAAUGGUAAAUGAAUCAAUCUUGGUCACCAAUGAUCCCUUUUGGCUGGAUGACACUAUUUAUUGGAUCAGAUCUGAGGAGUCCCCAUCCACAGUCGCGCCGCCGAGCACAUGUCUGUCUACGAUCACGAUGAAGACGUCCCUAUCCACAGUUGCGCCGCCGAGCACAUGUCCAUCUACGGUUAUGAUGAAGAUGUCCCCAUCCACAGUGACACUGAAGACGUCCCCAUCCACAGUGGCACCGUCGAAGCUGUCUCCAUCCAAGAAGUCUGUGUCAAAGCUCAAGCACAAGAGUCAUGUCACCUCUGCAAAAUCAUCUCUGAGUGACUCCCCUUUGAGUAAUAGUAACUUAAGUAAUUAAUGUUGGGUUGAGAUUAUGUAUUUUACUGUUUUGACGUGUUCCAGGUUGAGUUGGAGGUUUGGGAGUGUCUGUGGGAAAAUCCCAACGACAUUCCAUCAGCGGACCUUUCCUGGGUGAAGGAUGACACAGAAAGAUGGCUCUUCACUCCCAUUCAGGUGUACCGCAACAACACCGGUGCAUUGAAGAGGCGGCGGGUAAUAAAAUAAGACAGGAUGUGGUUUUACCCUCCAGAACCUCCAGGCUACGUUAGUAGUACUGUGCCAACUCCACAUCUCUUCUUUCGGAGUUGCAUCUUUGUGUGGCAGCCUGUCGGGGUAUGGAGAUAUUCGCUGAAGUGUCCAAAUGGCGAUGAAUGUGUGGGGAAAGGAAAAAACGUUUACCAGUGAGGCUACCACAGCAGGUUUGUCACAUUUGUGAUGUAUCCAGCUGGUAUACUAUGCUGAUGGAGGUCCUAUGCUGUGGACAAUGUAUCAAAGCAGCCAGGAGCAGUGAAGGUAGCAAGAUGGGUCGGUGGUUGGCUUGGGAUCCUGCUAUCCAUGGUCAACUCCGUGAAGCUCAUCAAGCCAUGUUCACUGCCAUCCUCACAGACAAGCGUGGUAUGGACAAUGUGGUGUGAAUGUUUUAUGGGCUCUGUGGGACCAGACUGAUGGGAACACCAUGAUGAAGGUGUGGCGACGGAUUCAAGAGAAUCACUUUGAGGAGUAUCUCCAGAGGAAGAAUCUGUACACCGCACCACACUCCUCAUGACUCUCAUGAAACCCAGGGGGUUCAUGUCAGUCUUAAGACACACUUUCGAGGCUCCACCUCCUCCUAGAGAGCUGCCCUCUGCUCGUCUGCUCCACCAUGCCUUCCUGCUGGCAGAGGCCAACAAUGUGCAGGACUUCAGGAGCCAAGUUCUCUACACUUUUGGCACUGUGCUAAAAAUGGUCUCCACUAAGAAGAUGAGUACAACCAGUGUUGUGUGUAAUCUGAUUAUUGACUUUCAAUUACAUGUUUGCUAUCAUAUUACUUGGAUCACACACAUUUCUAAAACUGAAAAAUUUUGCUUUGCAGGUGGUGAAGAAGCUGUCGGGAGAGGGUAAAGACACAGCUGAGUGGAUUACCAGCAUAGGCAAUGAGCAUUCCCAGAUUGUCUCAUUUGUACUUUCCUGUGAAGAGUCCAUCGAGUAUCUGGAGCUCAUGUGCCGUGGAGUAAUAGACAGAUUCCAGCAGGCCGAUCAGUCUGUGCCAAAGAUCUUAUACGUUGAUCGAGGGUGGAGACCGCUGUGGAGACCUUGUUCCAGACAUGGGUGGACAAUUGUAUGGUGGUGUGUCUGGACAUAUUCCACUGGAUCCUUAGGUUUCAUGCAGCCAUUCUCACUGACAGCCACUCCAAGUAUGCGGUGUUCAAGUCUGUGCUAGCAGGAGCAGUGCUAGCCUACAACCACUCAGACUUGGAGCUGCUUAUCAAGGCUGUCAGAGCAAAGGACCCGACAGCUUUGAACAUGCUCAUGAAUGAAAACAUGGUGCGACUGUGUGUCAAGGGAGCACCAUGUUCGGAGAAUUACACUUGGGGCUCAGGAGACAUUUAGGUUCAUCCAGAUAGCCAUUGGUGAGCUCAAAGGUCCUGCUGGGCUAGAUGAAAGUGGAGUUAGCAGAAGCCAUAGAUGAGGUUUGGGAAGGCCAGCAACGUCAUCUAGAGUGCCUCCAGCAUCCUCCACACAUGAACAUGUAUCGUGUGGCUCAUACCACAACCAUCAACGGAGUGGACGUUCCUUUUUACAAGUGUGUCUGUGGAAGCAACAGCCUGGAGUGAUUCCACAAUGUUCUGCCUAAUAUGAUUCCAGGUACAAAUUUUGCAAACAUGCUGUUCCAAAUGCUAAAAUAAAAUGCCAAACCUGUGAUGGCACUCAUGAUAUGAUACUGUGUAUAUCAAUGUGAUCAUUACUUGUGGCAGUUCAAUUAUUUGUGGCCUUGCAAUGAUUGUAAUGUAGUUUGUCAAUCUGACGUCCCCACUGCGAGGCGUGUCCUUAUCAAGUUUACCUGCUUAGUGGAACUUGGACUGCAGUUCUGACGCUGUGUUUGGAGGCAAAGGACGACACCACCGAAUGUACUCUGUGCCUCUGAUGGAACGCCUCAACACCUGCUGCCAGAAGUAGUUUGGAGAAACUGUGUAGGAGAAUUUCCACGGCCAUUAUGAUGUCACGUCCAAUGAGUUGAUUGGGUUGGAGUACCUCUUCAGCCAGAGCACAGGUGUAACUGGUCCCUUCUCCCUUUAGUGACAUCAUAAAUGACAGACCCAGUCCAGAGGAGGAGAUGAUUCAGCCUGGCCAGCGUGACCCAGAUGAGGAUGAUGAGGUGUACCAGAGUGACACAGAGGCAGAUGGUGACAUGGUGGCUGCCGUCCCAGCCCACAUCACCCUGACAACUGAUGAGAUCACCACGGCUCACCCUCCGGCCUUUGUGCAUGAUUUUGUUAACCUCAAUCAGAAUGUAAUGCUAGCACAAAGAGGGAUUAUCACGUUGAUGCUGCCAUGAUUCAGCGAGUCAGGAUGGCUAAACGCUACACACCAGCUCAACAAAACAUCAGUGCUUCAGCACAACAGGCUGAUGUACACGCUGGUGAAACUUCUCUGGUUGUGGUCCCCUCGCAGCACUCAAUUGAGCCCUGAAAAAACAUCACAAAAGCCUACGAGAGAAUCCAGCAUUGUAUUUUGGUGGAGGUAUUCCUUUACUAAAAAUCAGCUCCAAGACCAUCCGUGAUUUCAUCCGCAGUCAAGAGAGACUCAUCAACUUGCAGUCAACAAAAAUGCCAUCCACCAUAUUAAAGACCACAUCAAUCUCCUCAAAGCAUCUACCUCCAGCAGCAUGUCAACCAUCUGUUCUCCCUCCACCUGACUAAUCGCUGAUUGAGUACGAACACAUUCCGAGCACGGCAGGGACCAAGGUGUUGAAAGAAAGAACGGACAUUGUGAUGGCAGUUCCAAAGACUCCUACCAGUCAGAACACAGUGAGAAGAUCUCUGGUCACUUCCACCAUCACCAAAAUAUUAUCUACAGUCACUACUACAACGCAAGUGAUUCCAGCCACUUCCACCAUCACCAAACCUCUACCCACAAUCACGGCAACACAAUGAUUCUAGCCAUUUCCACAACACCUGUGACAAUGUGCAGCAGUCAAACUGACACACAGUGCUGACAGUCCUUCAAUGUGGGCCAGAGCAACACUGUUCAAAAGAAAACACACAGACAAUCUUACUGAUGUUGCAGCCAAACUGGCAUGUGUACACAACCUGCCUGUUUGUACAUUCUGCAACCAACCAACUCAGGGACACAAAAAAUACAAAAAUAAAGUUUUUGCCCUGUGAAAAUGAUGUCGAUUUGACAGCAGGGUGUGCACUAGUUAUGAACAUUUCAUGUCAGUUGUCUCAGGGGCAUAAAGAUACAGAGUUUUUGCCCUUUUACUUUUUAUAAAUUGUACUUAUUUUUAUUAUUUUAUUAUCAUUAAUACAAUUGUAAUAAUAUAUUAUUAGCAUAUAUUAUCAUCAGUAUUAUAAUGCAUAAUAUAAAUAUUUACAUUUACCAGAUGUUUCUAUUCAAAGUGACUUUGAACUAAACACUGUAAACUUCUGAAAGAUAUUUAUCUCAUUUUAUUAAAAUGAUGUCUACCUUUAGAAUUGGACAGAUCAGACAAAAUGUACAAAAUUUAAAAACAUAUAAUACAGGAACAAGGACCGCUGAAUUGGGAACACUGGAGAUUUUUUUUUUAUUUAAAAUAAUAUUUUAUUGAAGUGUAUUAUAUUUAUAUUAUUUCUUUUUUUCCUAUUUUGUCUCACUCUAAAUAAAGGGAUUAUUUGUUAUAGCA